AACAGAGGAUGAAAACGUAAAAAGUAAAAGUAAGUGAUAGCGAUGGGUUUUUGUUUUGUUUUGAAGAUGCUAUAAUUUAGGUUUGAGCUCCACCACUAGGCUAUAACAAGCAGACUCCCACCACCUACAGGUUAUGAUGGGCUAAAUUUUAUAACCUCUUUGGCGCGAAUCAAACUCGUUCAUUCUUGGUAUCGAUACGCGUACAACUCGAUUACUGUUCCGCUCAGACGGCAGACGAGAGAGUGGGUGAGUUGGGUUAGUUCACGAGCAGCUGGCUUGCACUCGGCGUCGUUGGGUGUGUGUCUGUGUGUGUGUAGCCUGUGUGGUGUGUAUGUGUGUGUGUCGUCUGCUGUGCCCUCCCUGUGCGUGUUUAGUGCUGGCUAAAAGCAGAAGAGAAGAGCGGUUGAGUUGAGUGGAGAGUUCGCUGGCUCACCAGGAUUAUUAUUGGGGGUUUCCGUGUGAGUACCGACUGAGUGUGUGCGUGAGUGUGUGUGGAUUCAGCAAACGCUCACCACCACGCGAACAAGUGGGUCAGUUUUGUGAAAGUUUUUUUCCGCUGAGAACAGCAACCCCCCGCCCCGGACGAUGAUAAUCCUACUGAAAGUGAACCCCUCGGUAAAUCGAUGUUCGAAGCGUCGGCAAUGAUGUGUACAUUUUGCAUGUUGUAGCUGUGGGUUUUUUUGUGUUUUUGUUUUUGUUUUGUUUUGUAUUGUUUUGUUUUAUUGGGUUUUAUAUUGUUUUUGCUUUUUUUUCGAAGAACUGCACACAGAAAUGUUGUCAACAUUCAUUCUGCUUUUAUUUCUUUGCCAAGUCGGAUGCUGCCCUGGGUUAAUGACUUUGUUAUUAACCUGAUAACUGUGCGGUGGAUUGCCAUUAGGGUAACUGAUUAGUCGUAUGAUAGCAAUUCUAGGGUAUACUUCUUUGUUUGCUUUUGGAGAGCUGCGCUUGUAGGUCUUUACUUUCCCACUGUUUUACCGUCUGUCUGUCAUUCUUGCUCUUUUUCUGCUCCAAAUGGCAGUUAUUGUGUCAACAUCUUUAAUCUUUCCCUUUUCUCAGUUAAAAAAGAAAUCCUCCCUCUCACCAACUUACUCAAUCUCCUUCUUUCAACUCCACCACUUUCCGGAUUUACAAGUUUUAAAUUUAAGUAAGGUAGGUUGGAUCAAGCACCUAGUCUCUCGGAUAAGGACGAUAAAUCUUGGAGGUCGUGCGUGCCCCUUGUGCCCGUUAAAGAUCUCACGGUGCUUGAAAAUCCUAGAAGAAAAGGUUGUAAAAUCGCCAAUUUAAAAUCCAAAAGUACUCUAAUG